GACGAACGCUGGCGGCGUGCUUAACACAUGCAAGUCGAACGGAAAGGCCCUGCUUUUGUGGGGUGCUCGAGUGGCGAACGGGUGAGUAACACGUGAGUAACCUGCCCUUGACUUUGGGAUAACUUCAGGAAACUGGGGCUAAUACCGGAUAGGAGCUCCUGCUGCAUGGUGGGGGUUGGAAAGUUUCGGCGGUUGGGGAUUGACUCGCGGCUUAUCAGCUUGUUGGUUGGGUAGUGGCUUACCAAGGCUUUGACGGGUAGCCGGCCUGAGAGGGUGACCGGCCACAUUGGGACUGAGAUACGGCCCAGACUCCUACGGGAGGCAGCAGUGGGGAAUAUUGCACAAUGGGCGGAAGCCUGAUGCAGCAACGCCGCGUGCGGGAUGACGGCCUUCGGGUUGUAAACCGCUUUCGCCUGUGACGAAGCGUGAGUGACGGUAAUGGGUAAAGAAGCACCGGCUAACUACGUG
rnacentral:rRNA from 1 species